GGGCGGGUAGUCUAGGGGUUAUGAUGCCGCGUUGACAGCGCGGAGGUCGAGAGUUCGAAACUCUCCCCGCCCA
rnacentral:tRNA from 1 species